UGGUGGGCUGUUGAUGACAGAUAUUCAUCUUUCUUAAAGAAAGAUGAAUAUCUGUCAUCUUUCUUAAAGAAAGAUGAAUAUCUGUCAUCAACAGCCCACCA